UGCAAGUCGAACGAACCUUCGGGUUAGUGGCGGACGGGUGAGUAACGCGUGAGAAUCUGCCCUCAGGAGGGGGACAACAGCUGGAAACGGCUGCUAAUACCCCAUAUGCCGCGAGGUGAAAUGAAUUUCGCCUGAGGAUGAGCUCGCGUCUGAUUAGCUAGUUGGUGUAGGUAACGGCUCACCAAGGCAUCGAUCAGUAGCUGGUCUGAGAGGAUGAUCAGCCACACUGGGACUGAGACACGGCCCAGACUCCUACGGGAGGCAGCAGUGGGGAAUUUUCCGCAAUGGGCGAAAGCCUGACGGAGCAACGCCGCGUGAGGGAUGAAGGCCUCUGGGCUGUAAACCUCUUUUAUCAAGGAAGAAGAUCUGACGGUACUUGAGGAAUCAGCAUCGGCUAACUCCGUGCCAGCAGCCGCGGUAAUACGGGGGAUGCAAGCGUUAUCCGGAAUUAUUGGGCGUAAAGCGUUCGUAGGCGGUUUUAUAAGUCUGCUGUCAAAGUGCGGAGCUUAACUCCGUAAGCGCAGUGGAAACUGUAAGACUUGAGUAUGGUAGGGGUAGAGGGAAUUCCCAGUGUAGCGGUGAAAUGCGUAGAUAUUGGGAAGAACACCGGUGGCGAAAGCGCUCUACUGGGCCAUAACUGACGCUGAGGGACGAAAGCUAGGGGAGCGAAAGGGAUUAGAUACCCCUGUAGUCCUGGCCGUAAACGAUGAACACUAGGUGUUGUCUGUAUCGACCCAGACAGUGCCGAAGCAAACGCGUUAAGUGUUCCGCCUGGGGAGUACGCACGCAAGUGUGAAACUCAAAGGAAUUGACGGGGGCCCGCACAAGCGGUGGAGUAUGUGGUU
rnacentral:rRNA from 1 species